rnacentral:rRNA from 1 species
CACGGAGCUUGCUCUGUGGGAUCAGUGGCGAACGGGUGAGUAACACGUGAGCAACCUGCCCCUGACUCUGGGAUAAGCGCUGGAAACGGCGUCUAAUACUGGAUAUGUGACGUGACCGCAUGGUCUGUGUCUGGAAAGAUUUUUCGGUUGGGGAUGGGCUCGCGGCCUAUCAGCUUGUUGGUGAGGUAAUGGCUCACCAAGGCGUCGACGGGUAGCCGGCCUGAGAGGGUGACCGGCCACACUGGGACUGAGACACGGCCCAGACUCCUACGGGAGGCAGCAGUGGGGAAUAUUGCACAAUGGGCGCAAGCCUGAUGCAGCAACGCCGCGUGAGGGAUGACGGCCUUCGGGUUGUAAACCUCUUUUAGCAGGGAAGAAGCGAAAGUGACGGUACCUGCAGAAAAAGCGCCGGCUAACUACGUGCCAGCAGCCGCGGUAAUACGUAGGGCGCAAGCGUUAUCCGGAAUUAUUGGGCGUAAAGAGCUCGUAGGCGGUUUGUCGCGUCUGCUGUGAAAUCCCGAGGCUCAACCUCGGGCCUGCAGUGGGUACGGGCAGACUAGAGUGCGGUAGGGGAGAUUGGAAUUCCUGGUGUAGCGGUGGAAUGCGCAGAUAUCA